UCCGGUUUGUCACCGGCAGUCGUUCCAGAGUGCCCACCUUCACGUGCUGGCAACUGGACCUAAGGGUUGCGCUCGUUGCGGGACUUAACCCAACAUCUCACGACACGAGCUGACGACAACCAUGCACCACCUGUCUCCAAUGCUCCGAAGAGAAGCUCCAUCUCUGAAACCGUCAUCGGGAUGUCAAGACCUGGUAAGGUUCUUCGCGUUGCUUCGAAUUAAACCACAUACUCCACUGCUUGUGCGGGUCCCCGUCAAUUCCUUUGAGUUUCAGUCUUGCGACCGUACUCCCCAGGCGGAAUGCUUAAUGUGUUAACUUCGGCACCACGGGUAUCGAAACCCCUGACACCUAGCAUUCAUCGUUUACGGCGUGGACUAC
rnacentral:misc_RNA from 1 species